rnacentral:rRNA from 1 species
CCUACGGGAGACAGCAGUGGGGAAUAUUGGACAAUGGGCGAAAGCCUGAUCCAGCCAUGCCGCGUGUGUGAAGAAGGCCUUCGGGUUGUAAAGCACUUUCAGUGGGGAAGAAAGCCUUGGGGCUAAUACCCUCGAGGAAGGACAUCACCCACAGAAGAAGCACCGGCUAACUCCGUGCCAGCAGCCGCGGUAAUACGGAGGGUGCGAGCGUUAAUCGGAAUUACUGGGCGUAAAGCGCGCGUAGGCGGUCUGAUAAGCCGGUUGUGAAAGCCCCGGGCUCAACCUGGGAACGGCAUCCGGAACUGUCAGGCUAGAGUGCAGGAGAGGAAGGUAGAAUUCCCGGUGUAGCGGUGAAAUGCGUAGAGAUCGGGAGGAAUACCAGUGGCGAAGGCGGCCUUCUGGACUGACACUGACGCUGAGGUGCGAAAGCGUGGGUAGCAAACAGGAUUAGAUACCCCUGUAGUC